ACACCGUCUGCCUCCUCACUGGGUGAAGCCAGAGCGAGAACAGCGCCCUCUGGUGACGGGCUGCAGUAUAGGUCAUAAACCCCGCCUCCUUAUGGAGCUGUAGACAAACUUUAUAAAUUAAUGACACAGAAUAUAAAUGUUUCUCCCCCCUGGUUGUGAUGUUGACAUGUAGUUACUGUCAGACUGGUUUGUGCUCAAGUCCUCUUUUUUCUGUACAGCUCCAUUUUUAAAAGUUAUUAGGGGGUUCAUGUUUUCUAUGAUUGACACCUGAUACAGCCUACU